GCAUUACAGAAGUGUUAGAACAGUUCUUGGUAUAUUAUGGACCCUCGAAUAUUUGCUGCCACUGUAACUUUUCCCUUAGCCCUUCUUUAAGUAAGUUCCUCUCACCCCCAUCUUAUAAAUGUAAUAAUGAUGAAGAGUCAGGUCACAUGACUAGAACAAGCAUUUGAACUUCUGUGCUCAUCCAGAGCCUUCCCUCUUCUGUUCUCUUUCCUCAAUAACUCUCAAGGAAACACCAAUAUCUCUGGGAACCCACAGUUUGAUGGGACUUUAUACUCUAAGACCAAACCUACUUUAUCCCCAUGCAUGUACCCAAAGGUACUUACUGGUCUCCUGUCAUCUUCAGGCUGAACAGGUCCAGGAUGGAGCCCUUUUUUCAGAUCAGCUUGUGGUCCCUCUCAAGAAGAAAGCUCCCAUUCGGAACUGAGAACUGGAUUUUGCUUUAGACAACUUUUUGAUUUGCACCUCUGAUAUUUUCCUAUGAUCCUGGAACAACCACAUUAUGUUAUUCUCUUGGGAGAGAAAAGAUGCCAGUCUCUUGUCAGAACCAAGGUUAUAAGGAGAAAAAAAAAAUACAUCCCUCCCGUUCAAAAGCAUUUAUGCUUUUCAGAGAAUGUUCUGGUACUAUUUUCAAUGACUUGAGUACGUGCUCAUUGCAAAUAUUAAGCAAAGGAAGAAAGUAAAUCUCAUUCAUCAUCUCAUGAUGCAAAUCACCA
rnacentral:lncRNA from 1 species